rnacentral:ncRNA from 1 species
GUACACUUUGUACUGAGCCUUUACCAAAUGACUGCGUGCCUACAAUAACGGCGCGCUUAUGAUCUUGCAGGGCACCGGCAACAAUUUCAGACGCAGAAGCAGAGCCACCGUUAAUUAACACAAUUAAUGGAAUAUCUUCGGCAAUGGUUUCUUCGCUAGCAGAGUAACGGAAAUCAGACUCUGCAAUGCGACCUUCGGUAUAGACGAUUAAGCCCGUAUUUAAAAAUGCGUCAGAGACUUCAACCGCCGCAUCUAAAACACCACCAGGGUUAUUGCGUA